UACGGGGGGAGCAAGCGUUGUUCGGAUUUACUGGGCGUAAAGGGCGCGUAGGCGGUCAGCACAAGUCAGUUGUGAAAUCUCCGGGCUUAACUCGGAACGGUCAACUGAUACUGUGCGACUAGAGUGCAGAAGGGGCAACUGGAAUUCUCGGUGUAGCGGUGAAAUGCGUAGAUAUCGAGAGGAACACCUGCGGCGAAGGCGGGUUGCUGGGCUGACACUGACGCUGAGGAGCGAAAGCGUGGGGAGCAAACAGGAUUAGAU
rnacentral:rRNA from 1 species